GUGCUCACUUAGGCAGCACAUAUACUAAAAUAGAAACAAUGCAGAGAUUAGCAUGGCCCCUGUGUAAGGAUGACACGCAAAUUCGUGAAGCAUUCCAUAUUUAA